AUUGAACGCUGGCGGCAGGCCUAACACAUGCAAGUCGAACGAGUGGCGGACGGGUGAGUAAUGUCUGGGAAACUGCCAGAUGGAGGGGGAUAACUACUGGAAACGGUAGCUAAUACCGCAUACCAUCGGAUGUGCCCAGAUGGGAUUAGCUAGUGGGUGGGGUAACGGCUCACCUAGGCGACGAUCCCUAGCUGGUCUGAGAGGAUGACCAGCCACACUGGAACUGAGAAACGGUCCAGACGCCUACGGGAGGCAGCAGUUGGGAAUAUUGCACAAUGGGCGCAAGCCUGAUGCAGCGAUGCCGCGUGGAUGAAGAAGGACUUCGGGUUGUAAAGUACUUUCAGCGAGUAGGCGUUACUCUCAGAAGAAGCACCGGCUAACUCUGUGCCAGCAGCCGCGGUAAUUC
rnacentral:rRNA from 1 species